CGGGGUAUAGCUCAAUUGGCUAGAGCGCCUGCUUUGGGAGCAGGAGGCUGGAGGUUCAAGUCCUCUUACCCCGA
rnacentral:tRNA from 1 species